rnacentral:rRNA from 1 species
GACCAAGGGUUCCAGUCCAACGUUAAUCGGGGCUGGGUGAGUCGACCCCUAAGGCGAGGCCGAAAGGCGUAGUCGAUGGGAAAAUGGUUAAUAUUCCAUUACUUCUGUGUAAUGCGAUGAGAGGACGGAGAAGGCUAAAUCAGCCUGGCGUUGGUUGUCCAGGUGAAAGGAUGUAGGCAUGUAUCUUAGGCAAAUCCGGGGUACUCUAUGCUGAGAUCUGAUAGCAAGCUGUACUUGUACAGCGAAGUGGUUGAUGCCAUGCUUCCAGGAAAAGUCUCUAAGCUUCAGUUACACAGGAAUCGUACCCGAAACCGACACAGGUGGUCAGGUCGAGUAGACCAAGGCGCUUGAGAGAACUCUGCUGAAGGAACUAGGCAAAAUGGUACCGUAACUUCGGGAGAAGGUACGCUGUUGUUGGUGAUGGAACUCGCUUCCUGAGCUGACGACAGCCGCAGAAACCAGGCCGCUGCAACUGUUUAUUAAAAACAUAGCACUCUGCAAACACGAAAGUGGACGUAUAGGGUGUGAUGCCUGCCCGGUGCUGGAAGGUUAAUUGAUGGGGUUAGCG